rnacentral:rRNA from 1 species
AGUGAACGCUGGCGGUAGGCCUAACACAUGCAAGUCGAACGGCAGCACAGUAAGAGCUUGCUCUUACGGGUGGCGAGUGGCGGACGGGUGAGGAAUACAUCGGAAUCUACUUUUUCGUGGGGGAUAACGUAGGGAAACUUACGCUAAUACCGCAUACGACCUACGGGUGAAAGCAGGGGAUCUUCGGACCUUGCGCGAUUGAAUGAGCCGAUGUCGGAUUAGCUAGUUGGCGGGGUAAAGGCCCACCAAGGCGACGAUCCGUAGCUGGUCUGAGAGGAUGAUCAGCCACACUGGAACUGAGACACGGUCCAGACUCCUACGGGAGGCAGCAGUGGGGAAUAUUGGACAAAGGGCGCAAGCCUGAUCCAGCCAUACCGCGUGAGUGAAGAAGGCCUUCGGGUUGUAAAGCCCUUUUGUUGGGAAAGAAAGGCAGCAGGUUAAUACCCCGCUGUUCUGACGGUACCCAAAGAAUAAGCACCGGCUAACUUCGUG